rnacentral:rRNA from 1 species
UCAAGGAAUUAAGAGUUUAUGGGGAAUACCUUGGCAUUCAGAAGCGAUGAAGGACGCGGUUACCAGCGAAAUGCUUCGGGGAGUUGGAAACAAGCUAUGAUCCGGAGGUCUCCGAAUGAGGAAACUUUUUACACUACUUAUUGAAUACAUAGAUAAGUAAGAGCGAACCUAGGGAACUGAAACAUCUUAGUACCUAGAGGAAAAGAGAGUAAAAAACGAUUCCCUUAGUAGCGGCGAGCGAAACGGGAGAAGCCUAAACUUAAUUUUAUUAAGGGUAGUGGGACAAUUGUUAAUCGAUUAGGACAAUUAGAUGAAUAAGCUGGAAUGCUUGACCAUAGAAAGUGAUAGUCUUGUAAUCGAAAAUUGAAAUAAUCAAAUUGAAUCCCAAGUAGCAUGGAGCACGUGAAAUUCCGUGUGAAUCUGCGAGGACCACCUCGUAAGGCUAAAUAUUCCUGAAUGACCGAUAGUGAACAGUACCGUGAGGGAAAGGUGAAAAGAACCCCGGGAGGGGAGUGAAAAGAACAUGAAACCAUAAACUUACAAGCAGUAGGAGGACGACUAAAACGUCUGACUGCGUGCCUGUUGAAGAAUGAGCCGGCGACUUAUAGGUAGUGGCAGGUUAAGGCAGAGAAUGCCGGAGCCAUAGUGAAAGCGAGCCUGAAUAGGGCAUAUGUCACUGGUUAUAGACCCGAACCCGGAUGAUCUAACCAUGGUCAGGUUGAAGCUUAGGUAAUACUAAGUGGAGGACCGAACCGACUGAUGUUGAAAAAUCAGCGGAUGAAUUGUGGUUAGGGGUGAAAUGCCAAUCGAAUUCGGAGCUAGCUGGUUCUCCCCGAAAUGCGUUUUGGCGCAGCGAUAAAUGUUAUAACUUAGGGGUAAAGCACUGUUACGUAUGCGGGCUGGUAAUUCGGUACCAAAUCGUUGCAAACUAAGAAUACUAAGUGUACAGUUUAUCAGUGAGACUGUGGGGGAUAAGCUCCAUUGUCAAGAGGGAAACAGCCCAGAGCACCAGUUAAGGCCCUUAAAUAAUUACUAAGUGAUAAAGGAGGUGGGAGUGCGAAGACAAUCAGGAGGUUUGCUUAGAAGCAGCAAUCCUUUAAAGAGUGCGUAAUAGCUCACUGAUCGAGUAAACCUGCGCCGAAAAUGAACGGGACUAAGUAAUUUGCCGAAACUGUGCGAUAUAUUCAAAAUAUAUCGGUAGGGGAGCGUUCUGUUGUAGAUUGAAGUAUUAGCGUAAGCGGAUAUGGACGAAGCAGAAGUGAGAAUGUCGGCUUGAGUAACGAAAAUAUAGGUGAGAAUCCUAUACCCCGAAAACCCAAGGUUUCCUCCGGAAGGCUCGUCCGCGGAGGGUAAGUCAGGACCUAAGGCGAGGCUGAAAAGCGUAGUCGAUGGACAACGGGUUAAUAUUCCCGUACCAUUAUUUAUUGAUAACGAGGGACGGAGAAGGCUAAGCUGGCCGGAUAUUGGUUACCGGUUUAAACGUUCGAGGUGUUGAGAAACGGAGAAAACGUUUUGAGCUGAGGCGUGAGUACGAGAUGCUACGGCAUUGAAGCAGUGUAUGUCAGACUUCCAAGAAAAGCUCGCAAUGUCAUAAAUAAAUAAUGCCUGUACCAUAACCGACACAGGUGGGUAGGUAGAGUAUACUAAGGGGCGCGAGAUAACUCUCUCUAAGGAACUCGGCAAAAUGACUCCGUAACUUCGGGAGAAGGAGUGCCUUAUUUAUAAGGUUGCAAUAACAAGAUCCAAGCAACUGUUUACCAAAAACACAGGUCUCCGCUAAGUCGUAAGACGAUGUAUGGGGGCUGACGCCUGCCCAGUGCCAGAAGGUUAAAGAAGUUGGUUAGCAUUAGCGAAGCUGAUAACUGAAGCCCUGGUGAACGGCGGCCGUAACUAUAACGGUCCUAAGGUAGCGAAAUUCCUUGUCGGGUAAGUUCCGACCUGCACGAAUGGCGUAACGAUGGCCACACUGUCUCCACCCGAGACUCAGUGAAAUUGAAAU